rnacentral:lncRNA from 1 species
CACGGGACAACGGCUUUCACUUUAUUACGCUGUCGGUCGAAUCUCUCUGUCGGUCUAAUCUCUCUGUCUCUCUCACCCAGUCUGGAGAACAGUAAACUGGGGGACAGUGGGCUGAGGGGCUGGCUGGAGCUGUGCUGUCUCUCUCCUCUCUGCAGAUUAUCAAUCUGUCCCAGAACUGUAUAGGAGACCAGGGAAUAAGGAGUCUGGCUCCUGCUCUGUCUACCCUCCCCUCACUGCACUGUCUCAGUCUGUACAGUAAUGUGAUAUCUGACGGGGGGUGCUGAGAGUCUGGCUGCUGUUUUACCUCAGAUGACAUCACUCAGUGACCUGGACGUCAAGUACAACAGUUUCACGGCCCUGGGAGCUCAGAGUCUGGCUUCCAGUCUGAGGGACUGUCCAUGGAUCAAGAGUCUGGGGAUGUGGAAUGUGUGUAUUCCCUACGGAGUGUUAGAGAGACUGCAACAACAGGACCCACGGAUACAACUGCUCUAGAACAUUGUUCUAAUGUUGUUCUAACAGAACCCCAGAGGAUACAGCUGCUCUAGA